GUGUCAGCAGCCGCGGUAAUACAGAGGGGGCAAGCGUUAUUCGGAAUUAUUGGGCGUAAAGGGCGCGUAGGCGGCUUCGCAAGUGGAUGGUGAAAUCCCUCGGCUCAACCGAGGAACUGCCGUCCAAACUGCGUGGCUUGAGUCCGGGAGAGGUGAGUGGAAUUCCCAGUGUAGCGGUGAAAUGCGUAGAUAUUGGGAGGAACACCAGUGGCGAAGGCGGCUCACUGGACCGGAACUGACGCUGAGGCGCGAAAGCGUGGGGAGCAAACGGGAUUAGAAACCCGAGUAGUCC
rnacentral:rRNA from 1 species